UCCCCGAUAGCUCAGUUGGUAGAGCAACCGGCUGUUAACCGGUUUGUCGCAGGUUCGAGUCCUGCUCGGGGAGCCA
rnacentral:tRNA from 2 species